UACGGAGGGUGCAAGCGUUAAUCGGAAUUACUGGGCGUAAAGGGUGCGUAGGUGGUCAAGUAAGUUAUCUGUAAAAUCCCUGGGCUUAACCUGGGCAGGUCAGAUAAGACUGCAUGACUCGAGUAUGGGAGAGGGUAGUGGAAUUUCCGGUGUAGCGGUGAAAUGCGUAGAGAUCGGAAGGAACACCAGUGGCGAAGGCGGCUACCUGGCCUAAUACUGACACUGAGGCACGAAAGCGUGGGGAGCAAACAGG
rnacentral:rRNA from 1 species